UCUUCCGCAAUGGACGAAAGUCUGACGGAGCAACGCCGCGUGAGCGAAGAAGGCCUUCGGGUCGUAAAGCUCUGUUGUUAGGGAAGAACAAGUAACGCAGUAACUGGCGUUACCGUGACGGUACCUAACGAGAAAGCCACGGCUAACUACGUGCCAGCAGCCGCGGUAAUACGUAGGUGGCGAGCGUUGUCCGGAAUUAUUGGGCGUAAAGCGCGCGCAGGCGGUUCCUUAAGUCUGAUGUGAAAGCCCACGGCUCAACCGUGGAGGGUCAUUGGAAACUGGGGGACUUGAGUGCAGAAGAGGAGAGCGGAAUUCCACGUGUAGCGGUGAAAUGCGUAGAGAUGUGGAGGAACACCAGUGGCGAAGGCGGCUCUCUGUCUGUAACUGACGCUGAGGCGCGA
rnacentral:rRNA from 1 species